rnacentral:rRNA from 1 species
UACGGAGGGUGCAAGCGUUAUCCGGAUUCACUGGGUUUAAAGGGUGUGUAGGCGGGCAGAUUAGUCAGGGGUGAAAUCCCCGAGCUUAACUUGGGAACUGCCAUUGAUACUAUUUGUCUUGAAUGUCGUGGAGGUUAGCGGAAUAUGUCAUGUAGCGGUGAAAUGCUUAGAUAUGACAUAGAACACCCAUUGCGAAGGCAGCUAACUACGCGAAUAUUGACGCUGAGGCACGAAAGCGUGGGGAUCAAACAGG